UGAUAAAUCAUACGAAAUACUUGUCAUAUUCAGCAACCUUCAUCCACAGGUGAAAAAUUUGGAUUCAUCAAAGGACUUUGUCAAAGUUACAGAAUCCAUCAGGAACAAGCAGCGGUGGAGAGGGAAGCACACGGGCACUAACAACAGCAGCAGGUCGCUUUUCAGAGAAAACUACAGGAUUCUGCUUGAAAACACUCAAAGCCAUCUAACUACAAUGAAAGGUUAUACCAACAGAGACAGGGGUUGGCAAGACUCUGCCAGAAUCCGAGGCUGAAACACAGAGCAGAGCGGCAUGAAGACAGGCCGUCAUCUUCUCCCCGGCUGACUAUGCAUCCCUACCAGCGAUCCCUCAAAAAAAAACCUGGCCACAGCUGACAGCGAAGCCUACUUUUAAGGGAGAUUUAUCAAGCCAGUGUCCAAACAAGACUCCCAACUGUCCCCCACUCCCCUCUCUCUACCCACCCAAGGA
rnacentral:lncRNA from 1 species